GGAGGCCAAUGAUGAUUUUGCAUUUUUGCCUACAUUGGUUGAGAAAGUCAGGUAUGAUAAAAAGAAUAUGCAAUCCAGCUGAGGCCUCC